ACUCCUACGGGAGGCAGCAGCAGGGAAUAUUGCACAAUGGGCGAAAGCCUGAUGCAGCGACACCGCGUGCGGGAUGACGGCCUUCGGGUUGUAAACCGCUUUCAGGAGGGAAGAAAAUGACGGUACCUCCAGAAGAAGCUCCGGCCAACUACGUGCCAGCAGCCGCGGUAAUACGUAGGGAGCAAACGUUGUCCGGAUUUAUUGGGCGUAAAGGGCUCGUAGGCGGUUCAACAAGUCGGUCGUGAAAGCCCGGAGCUCAACUCCGGGACGCCGGUCGAAACUGUUGUGACUAGAGUUCGGUAGAGGUGAGUGGAAUUCUCGGUGUAGCGGUGGAAUGCGCAGAUAUCGAGAGGAACACCAUUAGCGAAGGCGGCUCACUGGGCCGAUACUGACGCUGAGGAGCGAAAGCGUGGGGAGCAAACAGGAUUAGAUACCCUGGUAGA
rnacentral:rRNA from 1 species